UACGAAGGGAGCGAGCGUUGUUCGGAAUCACUGGGCGUAAAGCGUACGUAGGCGGAUAAGAAAGUCAGAUGUGAAAGCCCAGGGCUCAACCCUGGAACUGCAUUUGAAACUUCUUGUCUCGAGUUUGGUAGAGGAUAACGGAAUUCCGAGUGUAGAGGUGAAAUUCGCAGAUAUUCGGAGGAACACCAGUUGCGAAGGCGGUUAUCUGGGCCAAUACUGACGCUGAGGUACGAAAGCGUGGGGAGCAAACAGG
rnacentral:misc_RNA from 1 species